rnacentral:snRNA from 1 species
AAACAAGGAAUCAGGAUGUGAGGGUGGUCAUCCCAUUGGUCUCCAGGGUUGGUUCAGCUGAUCUGGCUGGCUAGGCAGGGGUCCCCUUUCUCCCUCAGUGCUCCAUGUACACCUUUCUCAAAACUGCACACUGGGUAGGAGAGGACCUUCCCCAAAAGAGGAGGAUGGGUCUUAGGUCAAGGGUGUAAGAGUAGUGCACUUCUCUGCUAGAACCUCCAAACAAGCUCUCAAGAACAAAUCCACCUUGUGGAGUAAAUUAUAUGUUGCUUAAUGGGCAUUUUUCU